UACAGAGGUCCCAAGCGUUGUUCGGAUUCACUGGGCGUAAAGGGUGCGUAGGUGGUCAGGUAAGUCUGAUGUGAAAGCUCUGGGCUCAACCCAGAAAUGGCAUUGGAUACUAUCUGGCUAGAGGAAUGGAGGGGGACUGGAAUACUUGGUGUAGCAGUGAAAUGCGUAGAUAUCAAGUGGAACACCAGUGGCGAAGGCGAGUCCCUGGACAUUUCCUGACACUGAGGCACGAAAGCUAGGGGAGCAAACAGG
rnacentral:rRNA from 1 species